ACCUGGCUGGCUCAGUUGGUAGAGCAUGCGACUCUUGAUCUCAGGGUUGUGAGUUUGAGACCCACACUGGGUA
rnacentral:tRNA from 1 species